CUUUUCAAAGGAGCCAAUCGGAGACAGCCUUGGUGGGCCGGAACUAUAAAAGGCCGUGCCGGAGGGGUGUUCUUUCUUUCUCCCACCCCUCUUCUAUUACCAUGUGGUUCGAUGGACGGAGACAUGAAUGCAGGGCACUGCAGAAGAGACCAGAAAUGGUUUGCAGAUUGGACUGGGCUUACGAUCUUGCUGCGCUGGGAAUAAAGCAGAUGACCUGGCCAGCAGGCUGACCGUUCUGAUGGAAUGAGAAGAUGGAACAGCAUUGGAAGUGUCUUCUCAUUGAAGUCUGUGGACUUUGAAGCACCAAGAGAUCAUCUGGAAUCAUUCAGUUCCUAAAAGGGAUGUCGUUGUUGUGGUGUGACUCAGCCAGGUUAGCAGCCAAUCCUGCAAGGACUGGAGAAGCAGUGUGCUGAGCUUCCAUUCUCCUGAAGAGCAUUCCCAUGUGGAACAGGCAGAUUGCAAAGGGACCUCCAGCAAUGUCUUCAAAGACUCCUUCAAGAGGGCUGGAGAAGUAGUGUCGUAACCAGAGAAGUUUCUUGAGAUUCUCCAUAAUUGGAGUGGUUGUUUUUCUGUAAUUGUGGAAUUAAAGGAAUUUUGUUUCAUACAAUCAGAAAAGUGUUUGUUUAUUGUUGUUUUUGCCACCUCCUUUGCAAGAUUUAAACUGGCUUAUUCCCAGUAACCAUAGUUAAGGUUUACCAUACUUUUGGCUGGGUUUGUGUGACAUGGGAAGCUGUGGUUAAUCGAAAACACAAGCAAAAGUUUCUCAACUGUUUGCAGCAGCACCAGGACUGGGAAAGCUCAAGGGGGGGAGGCUAGAUGUUACUUCUCAUGGUGUGUUAGAUUUGUGUAAUGGGCCUUGUACCUUGGUUUUAACAAGGUCCUCAUCUGCAGUAUACACUUUGAUACGGUCAUGGCUUCCCCUAAGAAUCCCAGGAGCUGUACUUUGUUAAACUCUCCACUUGCAGAGCUUGCAAUCCUUUGAGAUCCCUGGGAAAGGAGGAUUGACUUUCAAACCACUUUGGGAACUGUAGCUCUGUGGGGAAUAGAGGUCCCAUAACAUCACUAAGCAGGCCCAGGU